rnacentral:rRNA from 1 species
UACAGAGGUCUCAAGCGUUGUUCGGAUUCAUUGGGCGUAAAGGGUGCGUAGGCGGCGCGGUAAGUCGGGUGUGAAAUCUCGGAGCUCAACUCCGAAAUUGCACUGGAUACUGCUCUGCUUGAGGGUUGGAGAGGAGAUCGGAAUUCACGGUGUAGCAGUGAAAUGCGUAGAUAUCGUGAGGAAGACCAGUGGCGAAGGCGGAUCUCUGGACAAAUCCUGACGCUGAGGCGCGAAGGCUAGGGGAGCAAACGGG